rnacentral:lncRNA from 1 species
UUGAACAUUACAAAUAUGGUUAUUAUGUUAUGAAAGUUAGAGUUAUGGGACUUAACAUCUUGGGUUACAUUUAUUAUGUUUAAAUUGAUUGAUAAUGAUUCUGCUGCGAUGAUACCCUAAGUGAAGGUGAGCAUGCGAUGACAGGUCUUAUGUGAUAUUUUGUAACCUGCGUUAGGGAGCAUGAUAUGUUUGAUAUGAGUGACACUCUAUGUGGUUAUGAUUUUUAUUAAGUUAUGCACUAAAAUUG